AUGAACAUUCUAGCCUGGAACUGUUGGGGGUUGGGGUUGGACCCGACAGUGGGUGAGCUAAGGGACCUGAUCAGGUCAUACAACCCAGCGGUGGUGUUCUUGUCUGAAACAAAAAGACCUCACGUGCUAGAGAGACUGAAGUGGAGCCUAGGGUUCAAACAUGGGGUAGCGGUUAGUUGCAGCGGCAAGAGUGGUGGUUUAGCGUUGUGGUGGAAGGAGUCGGUCGAGGUGACAGUUAGGCCUUGGUGCCAAUACUAUGUUGAUGCACAGAUUGUGGCUGAUGGGAACACCUUUAGAUUCACUGGAAUCUACGGGAAACCGAGUGUGGAAAGAAGGAUGAAGACGUGGGAGGUACUUCGCUAUCUACGGUCCCAAGAUAACCUCCCGUGGAUUUGUGCCGGGGAUUUCAAUGAAGCACUUCUCCAAAAAGAGCAAAUGGGUGGUAAUCCGAGAAGCUUGAGCCAAAUGGCAAAUUUUGCGAAAUGCUUGUUCGACUACGGGCUUGCUGAUCUUGGUUUUUUGGGAUACCCUUUCACUUGGGACAAUAAGAGGGAAGGCCUCGACAACAUACAAGUGCGGUUGGACAGGGCUACAUGCAAUGCUGAGUUUGCUCAGCUCUACCCGGCGGUGGAAGUAAUUCACGUUAUGAUGGAGGAGUCUGACCACCAGGCGUUGGUGAUCAAGGUGCAGGCGGCACUGGCUGCGGGGCACCAAGGAGGCCAACGGCCUUUCAUGUACGAAGAAGCUUGGACCAGGCACGAAGGCUACGGAGCAAUGAUUGCUACUGCAUGGGCCGAUUCGUAG
rnacentral:rRNA from 1 species